UACGUAGGGGGCAAGCGUUGUCCGGAUUUACUGGGCGUAAAGAGCGUGUAGGCGGCCACGCAGGUCCGUUGUGAAAACUGGAGGCUCAACCUCCAGCUGUCGACGGAAACCGUGUGGCUAGAGUCCGGAAGAGGAGAGUGGAAUUCCUGGUGUAGCGGUGAAAUGCGCAGAUAUCAGGAAGAACACCAAUGGCGAAGGCAGCUCUCUGGGACGGUACUGACGCUGAGACGCGAAAGCUAGGGGAGCGAACGGG
rnacentral:rRNA from 1 species